UCCCUGGUGGUCCAGUGGUUAGGCCUCCAAACUUCCACUCCAGGGGCACAGGUUCAAUCCCUGGUCAGGGAA
rnacentral:tRNA from 1 species